rnacentral:rRNA from 1 species
UACGGAGGGGGCUAGCGUUGUUCGGAAUUACUGGGCGUAAAGCGCGCGUAGGCGGACCUGCAAGUCGGGGGUGAAAGCCCGAGGCUCAACCUCGGAACUGCCUUCGAUACUGCGGGUCUCGAGUCCGGGAGAGGUGAGUGGAACUGCGAGUGUAGAGGUGAAAUUCGUAGAUAUUCGCAAGAACACCGGUGGCGAAGGCGGCAUCCUGGGCCGGUAUUGACGCUGAGGAGCGAAAGCCAGGGGAGCAAACGGG